CAAUAACCACGCACCUGCUAUGCAAAUUAUUGCGCAAUCGGUGUUCAGGCAAAAAGUUGACCGAAAAAUGUGGGGUGUUUUUAACGCUUCACUACGAGCAUAAAAGAAGUAAUCCAAAUGAAAAAUUUGCAUAUUUGGGAGUUGAUAUGUCCAAAUAAGCGGUAUCUGACCUUUCCAUGACCGGAAAAGAAAAAAUCAUUGCUCAAAAGUGAAAGUAAAAAAUUCGAAGGCCAAUAUUUUGCAGACAGAAGGCAGAUUCACUUGAAAUUUAGCUUUUAAUUAAUCAAUUAUUGUGUUUUUUAAUAAAUCCUAACCAUUUGAAUCAGGUAUAUGCGCGUGAAAUAAUAUAUAUUUAUUUAUUUCCAACACCACUAUACCUGUGCAGUAGAGUUACUCCCCUUUCCGCGGAAUUAUUACAUUGUUGUUACGGUGAAUUCGGGAGCGAUCUUUUGAGCAGUUUUACGGAUAUCGGUACGAUAAACACAGUAUUUGUUUGGCAGGAAGAGAAAUUGUCUUAUCUGGUAUCGAUGCAGAGAACAUGACUGACAAAGAUCUAUUUGACAGUGAUUAUGAUGGGGGUUCACAAAUACAUGAGCACAGUUACACUGUGAAUUCCUGGUGCUGCCAUUCCUAAUCAACCGACAUAUCAGAAUUCUGGAUAAGAAUUCAGAUUACUGGGUGCAUAUUCAACCGAAUGUUUGGGUCCUGCGUUGGUGGGGGGUAACGUGUUUCAGGCCAGAAUCCUGCCGGACCAUCCAAUUGCAAGGACAUCUAACAUAGCUGAAAUGUAUCUGUAAUGAAUUAUUAAAAGUUUGGAUAAAAAAUGUGUUCUUAAAUCAUUAUUUUAAACAAAUUAUACACCCAGGUUGACUAUUUUGAAAAAAAUGAAAAAUGACAAUUUUUACACAAGGGAUUUUUCAAUGUUUCCGCAUUCACUAACAUUAUUUUAGACAAUGUAAGAUAGACAAACCAUACAUAUUUGGAAAUGGUUUACUAAUAUCUAUCAGAAAAUGUAUAAUUUUACUGGGUUUAUGUCAAUUUUCAAAAUCAGUGGUUAUUGCUAUUUUCA